AUCCACCCUGCAAAAAGGAUGAAUAGAGAAAGAGAAAAGAGAAAAACAAAGAAUCACACAAGCAUCAGAAAUAAGAGUUAAAGACAAAAGGGUUGUCGUCAAUACUUUUACUCUUUUUCCCCGGAAAGUGGUCCUUCUCCUCUCUCUUUCUCUUUCUUUCUCU
rnacentral:ribozyme from 13 species